rnacentral:tRNA from 3 species
GCGGAUAUGGUGUAGUGGUAACAUAACUGCCCUCCAAGCAGCUGUCGCCGGUUCAAAUCCGACUAUCCGCU